rnacentral:misc_RNA from 1 species
GCGGAGGAAAAGAAACCAACAGGGAUUGCCUCAGUAACGGCGAGUGAAGCGGCAACAGCUCAAAUUUGAAAUCUGGCUCCUUCGGGGCCCGAGUUGUAAUUUGCAGAGGAUGCUUCGGGUACGGGUUCCUUCCGAGUUCCCUGGAACGGGACGCCAUAGAGGGUGAGAGCCCCGUCUGGUAGGACACCCAGCCCGUGUGAAGCUCCCUCGACGAGUCGAGUAGUUUGGGAAUGCUGCUCUAACGGGAGGUAUACUCCUUCCAAGGCUAAAUACCGGCUGGAGACCGAUAGCGCACAAGUAGAGUGAUCGAAAGAUGAAAAGCACUUUGAAAAGAGAGUCAAAUAGCACGUGAAAUUGUUGAAAGGGAAGCGCUCGCUACCAGACAUGGGUUCGGCGGUUCAACCGGGGCCACGCCCCGGGGCACUCCGCCGGCCCAGGCCAGCAUCAGCUUUCCGUCGGGGGCAAAGGCGUCGGGAAUGUGGCUCUCCUUCGGGGGAGUGUUAUAGCCCGGCGUGUCAUACCCUUCGGGGGGCUGAGGUACGCGCUUCUGCAAGGAUGCUGGCGUAAUGGUAGCUAGUGACCCGUCUUGAAACACGGACCAAGGAGUCAACCUUAUGUGCGAGUGCCCGGGCGUAAAACCCCAGCGCGGAAUGAAAGUGAACGUAGGUGAGAGCUUCGGCGCAUCACCGACCGAUCCUGAUGUCCUCGGACGGAUUUGAGUGAGAGCAUAUAGGGUUGGACCCGAAAGAAGAUGAACUAUGCGUGUGUAGGGUGAAUCCAGAGGAAACUCUGGUGGAGGCUCGCAGCGGUUCUGACGUGCAAAUCGA